UGGGCCAAUGGGAAAAGAAAAAAGAGAAAUUUGGUCCAAUACCCACUAUUUUGGUCCACUAUUUUGGUCUGUAACAAAAUCUAUCCUCUCUUACAAAAUUUUUUUUAUCUACCCCUCUCUUUCUAUUUAACCCUUAAUGAAAACAAAAAAAUCAUCCACAUGUUCUUUCAGAGUUUAGAUUACGGGAGAGAUCACCAUAUCAUUGAAGUCGCCAGUUUGAUCAUUACAAACCGUAGUCUUACUCCGUAAGACCGACCCCAACACCAUGAUAAGAGAAAUUGCACUCCUAACUAUGUUUUCCAUAUAGGUAUAGCCACAACUUUAUAUUUGAAAGCCUAUUCCUAUUGAUUCUCUCUCUCUUUUCCCAAAUCAAACUCUUCUGGAAAGUUCCAUUAAGAAUCUGAUGGCUAACGGUGGCCAAAGCCAUUCCUGGAGUUCCAGCGACGUCUCUGAGUCUUUGGAUGAUGAAGUUGCCCGUAGAGAUGUCAAUGCCAACGCUUUUUUGGUAUUGAGAGGAAUUUGAGUGGAGGUAGCUUAGCUGAAGACACAUCAACGGCUGGAAAAUCGGAUUCGAGUUCGAGCAAGCACAGUAAGGCAGGGAAGCUUGUACACAAUCACACAUUGUCUAUAUUAGCCACCAGACCUUUUAAUGGUAAAUUCCCUUUCAAAAAGAAGGUUGUUCAUUCCAAAACGUUCCUACUUUCAUUUUAUUUAUUUAUUUCUUUUUUGCUUUUAUAUUAUUGCAAUGGUUAAAUUUCAAGUGUUUUUAACUCAAAAAAAAAAAAAAAAAAAAGGAUUUUUCAAGAGAGAGAGGGAGCUAAUUGAUCAACUAGCUAGAAUAAUAGGCCAGGAUGAUGGUGGUUAAGCUCCAGUUUGGAAGAUGGCACCAUAAAUCUUUAAGAGUGUUUUUAUAGUAUCUGUUAUUGUUAAAAAUUGAAAUUGUUUACUUUGAUAAGUCCGCUCCAAUCGAAAUUUUUCUAUCACUUCAUUGUAAAUUAUUUACAAUGCAGUCCAAGCCUUUAAAAAUUGAUUUUGUGUGUAAUUAUUAUUAUUAUUAUUAUUACUAUUAUUAUUAAUAUUAUUUUGGCUUUUAAGGAUUGGAUUUACAAAAUUUUAUUAACAAAUUUUGUGAAGCUUAAGCUGUUAAAGCAAGUUGGUACUGUUAAAGAUGAUGGGACAAUAGAGGCUAAUGAUACUGGGGAUAUUAAACCGAGUUUUAAUUUUGGAACUGGAAUUGGUUAUGAUCAAACUGUUGAUGAAGCUAUGUGAUCUCAAGGUAGUUGUGGAAGAAAGGGCACUAAUGUCUGAAAGAGGCUGUAUCUUCCUAGGUAGUCGGCAUACUUUUCCUUUGGUUUUUCAUUUCCCUUAUUUUUUUAUUUUUUCGUUGAGAUUGCUCUUUAUUAUUCAAUAUUAACUAUUGGUUGCAGUAUAUGACCUUUUCCUCUUGGGGUUUGUAAAUGUUGAUCUGAUUAUACUAUGUAGUUGAGGCAAUUCAAAUAUCAUUUCAACAGAUAUUCAUACCAUAUCAUUUACGUCAAGGGAUAUUCGAAAGAACAAAACAAAAUUAAGAGGGGUAAAUUUUUGUUAAGUUUAGAAGGUGGUGGAAGGGUGAAAAUAUAUUUAAGAAGGCAUACAUUCUUAUUCCAAUACAUGACGAUUAACUCUUAUUGGUAGAAGGGUGAAAAUAUAUUUAAGAAGGCAUACAUUCUUAUUCCAAUACAUGAAGAGUAGUUCUUAUUUAACAUUCUUCUUCCAAUAUUAUAAUUCUUCUUUUAUUUUUGGUGAGAUUUUUUUAUUUGCAAAUUAUAUUACUUUCUAUUUCUCAUGUUCCAACCUGUAUCAGUUGAAACAUUUAAAUUGAACUAGAAGAAUUAGGUCUGGCAUAUAAUUAGACCUUACAUCUUAGAUUGAUUGAUAGUAAGAAUAUUUUGUUUUGUAAAGAAGAAAUUUAUCUGGAAGUAACAUACUGUAUUGUGCAAAUUAUGAAUUAGUCAAGAGAUAGGAGCCAAAGUUAGAGAA